CAGCUCGUGUCGUGAGAUGUUGGUUAAGUCCCGCAACGAGCGCAACCCUUGUCAUUAGUUGCUACAUUCAGUUGGGCACUCUAAUGAGACUGCCGGUGACAAACCGGAGGAAGGUGGGGAUGACGUCAAGUCCUCAUGGCCCUUAUAGGUAGGGCUACACACGUCAUACAAUGGAUGGUACAAAGGGUCGCCAACCCGCAGGGGGAGCCAAUCCCAUAAAACCAUUCGUAGUCCGGAUCGCAGUCUGCAACUCGACUGCGUGAAGUCGGAAUCGCUAGUAAUCGUGGAUCAGAAUGUCACGGUGAAUACGUUCCCGGGUCCUU
rnacentral:rRNA from 1 species